rnacentral:misc_RNA from 1 species
GAGGCAUUUUUGGAUUACUCAUCCAUCAUCAUUCAUGAUACUAACACAACAUGUUUUAUUUCUAUGAAGAUUUAUCACAUAACAAAAUCUCCCUGUUCACGAGGAAUUCAUAAACGUGGUCGUUAAAAUUAUAAUAAUGAUAUUCGCCUUCACAGAAGAAUGUUGAACAUGUGCAGCCGUGGAAGUAUGCAAAGCAGGUUGCCAGGGGUGACAUCAAAUGCUCAAUUACUUCGGAGUUAGUCUGAUUGGACAGACAGAAAAUGCAAUGCAACGAGCUGCUUUUGCUAGCAUAAAACGUUCAUUUUCUGUCAAUGGCCUCUCAAUCACCUUGAUAAUGUUGGCAUCCU